CGUCUCACUGUGUGUCACAUAUAGAUGGGCUCUCAGUCACAACGAUUUCUUCCACUUAACGCGUUUUGAUUCAUGUGGUGUGAAAGCGAUAUGCAUCCAGUAGAAACUAUGCUUCCAGGACCCACACAAGCAUCCUGUUUUUUACUUUCAGUACAGUAUUCAAUAAAUUACAUAAGAUAUUCAACACUUUAUUAUAAAAUAGGCUUUGCAUGUUUUUUUUUUUUUUUUUUUUUUUUUUUGAGACUAGAUCUGGCUCUGUUGCUCUGUUUCCUGGGCUGGAGUGCAGUGGCGAGAUCUCAGCUCACUGCAACCUCUGCCUCCCAGGUUCAAGUGAUUCUCCUGCCUCAGCAUCCCAAGUACCUGGGAUUACAGCCACAUGCCACCAUGCCCAGCUAAUUUUUGUAUUUUUAGUAGAGACAGGGUUUCAUCACGAUGGCCAGGCUGGUCUUGAAUGCCUGACCUCAGGGGAUCUGCCUGCCUCGGCCUCCCAAAGUGCUGGGAUUACAGGCAUGAGUCACCAUGCUCCACCUGUGUGAAUGAUUUUUGACACACACAAUAGGCUUUUUGGUGAUUUUGCCCAACUGUAGGCCAAUGUAACUAUACUGAGAAUGUUUAAGGUAGGCUAGGCUAGGCUAAGCUAUGAUGUUCAGUAGGUUAGGUAAAUUAAAUGCAUUUCAACUUGAUAUUUUCAGUUUAUGAUGUGUUUAUUAGGACACAGCCUCAUUAUAAAUUAAGGAACUUUGACCUGCUUUAGAAUUUUGAGCCAUGUGAAUGUAUUAUCUAUUCUAAAAAUAAUUUUUAAAAAGAUGGAGAGGAAAUUUUAAUUAUGGUUAUACUAUUACAUACAAUUUUUAAAGAUUUUAAAUAAGUAUAAAAUUUGAAUCAUUCAUUUAUCCAUUUCUUAAGUUAAUUCACACAUAGCUCACUGCAGCCUCCAACUCCUGGGCUCAAGUGAUUGCAGGCUAAUUUUUAAAUUUUCUGUAGAGAAGGGGUCUUGCUAUGUUGCCCAGGCUGGUUUUGAAACUUCUGGCCUCAGGUGAUCCUCCUGCCUUGGCCUCACACAUAUUCGUUUUUUGUUUUGUUUUGUUUUGUUUUUUUGAGAUGGAGUUUCACUGUUGUUACCCAGACUGGAGUGCAAUGAUACGAUCUCGGCUCACCGCAACCUCUGCCUCCUGGGUUCAAGCAAUUCUCCUGCCUCAGCCUCCCAAGUAGCUGGGACUACAGGUGCGCACCCCCAUGCCCAGCUAAUUUUUUGUAUUUUUAGUAGAGACGGGGUUUCACCUUGUUGACCAGGAUGGUCUCGAUCUCUUGACCUUGUGAUCCACCCACCUCGGCCUCCCAAGGUACUGGGAUUAUAGGCGUGAGCCACCGCGCCCGGCCACAUAUUCUUAAUAUAUAUAGUUUCCUAAAGUAAUUUAAGCUUUGAGAUUCUUCAGACUGCAAAAUUUUCAUAAAGCUUUAAGAUAAAAAGCAGUAUUUUACACGACGCUUACAAGUUCAUUCUCUUCAGCUUGUUUGGGACUUUGGUUAAAGGUUUGAGAAAUACUAACUUUGUUAAGCCCCCUCAUUUUAGAGAGAGAAAACCGAGUCCCAGAGAGGGAAGGUGACUUGGCCAAGGUCAUAGAGAGAUCAAGGGCCCCGAGGAGGGGCAGGAGACCCUGGACAUCCUGCUCUCUCUGGUCUCCAGUGCCACCCACCCUCCAUGGUGCUUCCUUGGGCUUUCCCACCACUGGACAGCCCUUUCUGCCCAGCCUUUCCAGAGCCAGGAUGAUGAUUUUUUUCUUUUAGAUGGAGUUUUGCUCUUGUUGCCCAGGCUGGAGUGCAAUGGCACGAUCUUGCCUCACUGCAACCUCUGCCUCCCUGGUUCAAGCGAUUCUCCUGCCUCUGCCUCCUGAGUAGCUGGGAUUACAGGCAUGUACCACCACGCUUGGCUAACUUUUUGUAUUUUUAGUAGAAAUGGGGUUUCACCAUGUUGGCCAGGUUGGUCUCAAACUCCUAAUCUAAGUGAUCCACCUGCCUUGGCCUCCCAAAAUGCUGGGAUUACAGGUGUGAGCCACCGUGCCCUGCUAGGAUCAUGAUUUUUUGACGUGAGGCAGAUUCUGCUAGUGCCCCACUCAAAUCAUGUCCACCCCUUCUACCUAACUGAACUGUGCUUUUAUUUGGGGAAGGAACAUUAACUGAAAUGCUCAUUUCCCAGACUCCCUUGCAGCUUGUAGAGGCAGGAGACUCUGCUGUGGCCCCUUAGAUGUAAGUGGAAGACUGGGUGGGGCUUCCAGGAAAGCCUUUGAAAGAGGCAGACUUAGUGGAUGUAUCCCUUUGGGUUUUUGCCUGUCCGCCUUCCUUCUGCCUGGAACCCAGAGGCAUUACUGGGGGCACUACAGCUGUCUUCUGAUCAGAGGUGACAGGCACAAAGCCAGAGCCCACAAGCUAAGGAAAAAUGGAAAGAGCUGGGCCCAUGGUUCCCUGGAUACAACCGCCCUCCUUACCAGGUGCUUAGCCUGGACUUCUUGAUGCAAGAGACAACUUCCUUGCUCUGAUUUAAACCACUGUUAGUUACUUUUGUGAGUUACAUGGAGCCCAGAGCAUUCCUAACUGUUGCACUGGGUGAAGCUGGCCCACACUUCUCUACCAAUUCUACAGCCAAUAUGGGACAAGUUCACACCCUGGUCCAGUAGGUGGCAGGGCAGGGGGGUGGGGGUAAGAUAAAAGGGUUUAUGGCCACAGGAUCACCCACCCUUUCAUAGCAGUGUAGGAAAGAGAUGGCCGGGUGUGGUGGCUCAUGCCUGUAACCGCAGCACUUUGGGAGGCUGAGGUGGGCAGAUCACUGCCUGCACAGUGAAACCCCAUCUCUACCAAAAAUACAAAAGUUAGCCGGACAAGGUGGUGUGCACCUGUAAUCCCAGCUACUCUGGAGGCUGAGACAGGAUAAUUGCUUGAACCUGGGAGGUGGAAGUUGCAGUGAGCUGAGAUUGCACUACUGCACUCCAGCCUGGAGUGAGAUUCCAUCUCAAAAUAAAUAAAUAAAUACAUAAAUAAGAUAAUGAAAAAUAAAUAAGAGACAUUUUUGGAAAAAACUAAAUGUAGAGCUACUAUGGAGCUUGGCUUGGUGUCCCUAAUGAGAGAAGAACCACUGAACCACUUACGUAUCUCCCUUUUGAGUUGUUUAAAGCCCCACCAGGCCAGAAUGCCGGCUCUGGCGCCCCCACCCUUGCUGCCUCGACUCUACAUCCGUCUACCUGGCAUCUCUCGGUCAUCCUGUUUCCUGUCUGGCUUAUGUCUCCCUGGCUGGCAAUGGAACAGUAGAUUCCGGCUUUUGUGAUGUUGACUAGGCUGGUCUUGAACUCGCGACCUCAAGUGAUCCAUCCGCCUCAGCCUCCCAAAGUGCUAGGAUUACAGACAAUGCUGUGCCUAAUGACCUGCCUUUCUGGCCACACUCAGUUUCUACAUCUGCAAAAUGGGCCAGCAACACUGGCGCUGAUGACAUCAUGUGAUGCAGAGGACACCCCAGAUGUCCACAGGGCCACUGAUCUACCUCCUCUAGGAAGCCCUCCUGGGCUGCCCCAGGGUUCCUGGUGCUUACUCUACUUUCCAUCUUCCAACUUGAGAUGAUAUGCUGCCUCCAUCACCCUCCCACAUAACAUCUCACUGGGCUGCACCACAGCCCAUUCCCUGACUUCCGAGUGCAUGCUCCCUUCUCCAGGACUUUGCACACAUAGUUUCCCCCUGCCUGGGAUGGCAGGGAUGGAGGCUGUGUGAGCCAAGGUGAGUCACUAACCCUCUCUGAGCCUCUCUUGCAUCACUGUCUUUCCAGCCCCCAGCAUAGGCUUGGGACGUAGGUCGUUGUCAGUGGACUGAACUGUACCCCAUAUGUGUUCUUACUGGGUACAACUCUGUCCUGCCAGGGGGAGGUCAUGGUCAUAGGCACGGGAUGUGCUGUGGGCCUUAGACAGUGGCAUGCUGGGAAAUGCUUAACGACUGGCUUUCUGCAGGGAAAAAAAUCAACCUUGAUUUGUAGCAUCUGCCAAUUUCCAUGAUCUAAAUAUUUCCACAACUUCCAACUUCAAGCUGCCAACAUGAACACAGCUGGGCAGAGAUGCACACAAUGAGCUCCCAGGAGCUGCUGCGAGCCGACUCGAGCACACCAUCGGCCUUAGUUCAUCACGUCCAACCACACUGUGAGGACACUGAGGCUCAGGGCCCUACAGCUGAUCAGCAGCGGAGCUGGGACUAGAAUCUGGGUCUCUGGCUGUUGACAUUCGUGAGAAAAUAUCCAUACAGGCAUGAUAGCUCCUCAUGGACCAACACAAGCUUCAAGCAUUGUUUAAACACACAGGGCCCCAGCCCAUCAUUUUGGCAGUUAGGACUGCACUCUCCUUCCUGAGAAGCCUGGAACCCCAGGCUCAGGGCUCAGCUCUGACCACAUCAGGGCCUCAGGAAGCAGCACUGGGAUGCUAGCUGCAAAAUAUUUCUCCUGUGAGCUGAACAUCUGUCUUGGGUGGACCAGAGAUCACGUCCACUUGGCUGUGCAUCCAAAAGCUCUUCUGGCUGCAGCCUCCGCUUCCUAGUGAUUUCUGCUUUCUUUUUUGCCAAGUCACAUCUGGUUGCCAUCUGUAGUUACGGGGGUAGCCGAUCACAAUUCAAAACCCUGGGUGAGGCGUCAUGCGUGUUUCUUUGGCUGGGAGAUUUUGGAGAAGGAAAGCUCUCUUUAGGAUCAAAAUGAGCUGAAGGGUGCUCAGCUGGGUCACACAGACAGUGAGGAUUAGAAAGGCCCUAACUCUAGCCUGGGCAACAUAGUGAGACUUUCUCUCUGGAAAAAAAAAAAAAAAAUCAGCUGGGUGUGGUGGAAUGCACCCAUAGUCCCUGCUACUCUGGAGGCUGAGGUAGGAGGACUGUUUGAGUGACAGAGUGAAGCAGCGUUGUCUAAAAGAGGGGCUAGCAAAUUUUCUUCUGUAAAAGGCCAGAAAGUAAAUAUGUUCAGUUUCAUGGGCCACACGGUCUCUGUCCCAAAUAUUCAACUCAGUCCUUAGAACAUAACAGCCUUAGAUGCUGAGUGUAGGUAUGGGUUGUGUUCCAAUAAAACUUGUCUUGCAAAAUCAGGUGGUGCGCCAGAGAUGGCUGGGAGGGCCACAGUUUGCAGACCCUGAUGGAGAGGAAAGGAUUGAGCAUCUUAUCAAAACUACUCCCCCUGCCCCACCCGGGCCCCCAUUUGUUGACUGGGCUCUUAUUGAAAGCCAGUGGCUGGUCCUGCAACCCUGGGACAGCACAAGGCUCAUGACACUGCCCUGCCCUGGCCCUCACUCUCCAUCACAAUUCCCACUUAAAGUCACUUUCUUCCUCGACUAGGCCCAGUGUCUUUGUAAUGGUUCUCCCCAGUUCUGGCAUUGCAGAAUGGGAAAAUCAAUAUCAUACGUUAACUCAGAGAGGCCUUCCCUGACCACCCAGCCCCAGGACAGCAAAUUCUUCCAACACUCCCCAGACCCCCCGACCCUGCUUUAUCCACCCCAGUUGCACGUUUCACCUUGGGAGAUAUAUAUUGCAUUUCUGUUUACUUGUUAUUGUUUAUCUCCCCCACUCAAAUAUAAGUUUUACUCGGGCAGGGACCUUAUCUUGCUCAGUCUUCAUAUCUGACACCUCAGUGGUGCCUGGCCUAUAGUAGGUGUUCAAUGAACAUAUUUGCUAAAUGCAUGAAUGAAUAUCAUCACACUGCAAGAUGCUUGCUUGUUUAAUGCUGGUUUUUCGCUUGAAUUGUGAACAUCCUAAAAACAUGGACUGGGUCUUCCUAGGUUUUGCUCAUUGUCAAAGUUUGCUGAGCCACUGAAUGAAUGAAUUUCCUUGAUAAAAACA